rnacentral:rRNA from 1 species
UACGUAGGGGGCAAGCGUUGUCCGGAAUCAUUGGGCGUAAAGCGCGUGUAGGCGGUCCGGUAAGUCGGCUGUGAAAGUCCAGGGCUCAACCCUGGGAUGCCGGUCGAUACUGCCGGACUAGAGUUCGGAAGAGGCGAGUGGAAUUCCCGGUGUAGCGGUGAAAUGCGCAGAUAUCGGGAGGAACACCAGUAGCGAAGGCGACUACCUGGCCUGUUCUUGACGCUGAGGCGCGAAAGCUAGGGGAGCAAACGGG